UCCAUUUGGCAUGUACUCAUAAACAAGUGCUCUGAAAUCAUUUCCCUGAUAACAGUUAUGAUCUUUGCAAGAUUUCAGUGGCGUAUGUUUCUCAAGGCUUUACACUCGGCCAUAAAACUUCUUACGGCACCAUGCCGUUGAUGAUUGAAUACGUUGAUCACAACAGAGAAUCCUUCAUUAAAAAUGCCUUUGUAAACUGAGCCAAAGCUUCCCGCACCAACUAAAUUUGUUGAAGAGAAUCCAUCAGUUGCUUUAGGAAUCCUGUCAUAUGGAAGUUUUUGAAAUGACUCCAUUUCCAAGGAAUCAGGAGAUUGCUGUCUUUUGGUCUUCCUGAACCUAUAGUUCAGGAAGGUUAACAGCAUAAUGACACAAGAAACACAUGGUAUGGCUAUUACAACUAUUUUUACAAUUUGUUGCUUGGUCUUCUGUUUCAUUGUUUUAAUGAUGCAUCUAGGCAAUUGUAGUUCUGGUAUGCCCCCACAUAGCCUGAUGUUUCCUUCAACUAAAUUUGCAUUUUUAUUUGCAAAAACGACUUUGAUAGGAACCUUGCCCUCAAAAUUGUUGAAGGAGAGGUUCAAAUAUUCCAGUGCAAAAUUCUCUAAAAAUUCUGGAAUUUUUCCAGAGAUGUUUUUUGACAGGUCGAAUUGUUUAAGACCCCUUAAUGAAGCUACCGACCCAGCUAUGGUACCUUGAAAGUUGUUACCAUCCAUGUAAAGAAACUCAAGGCUAUUGCACUGACCAAGGUUGUUUGGAAUUUGUCCAGACAACAUGUUUUGAGAAACAUCCAAUGUAUUCAAAUUGAAUAAAUUGCCAAUCUCUGAAGGAAGAGGUUCCACCAAAUGGUUUUGAGAUAGAUCUAUUCCAACUAACUUGGAUUGGAUAGCUAAAAGCUGUUUUGGAAUGGAACCGCUCAAUUUGUUUUGAGAAAGAUUCAAGAAUAGUAACUCGUGGCAAUUUCCAAGGCUGGAAUGGAUGGUGCCUUCUAAUUGAUUUUGCUGCAAGUGAAGUUCAUUCAACAAUGAUAAAUUUCCUAUAGAGGAAGGAAUUGCUCCUGAUAGUCUAUUGUAGUUGAGAAAUAAGCGUUGUAGUUUUCGCUGCUUACCAAAUUCCGUUGUAGUUUUCGCUGCUUUCCAAAUUCUGUAGAAAUAGUGCCUGUGAUUUUGUUAAAUUGAAGAUCCAUUGUCGACAAGCUGACGAGAUUAGAUAAGCCAGGAGGAAGGCUACCAUAUAUUUGAUUUUCACUGAUAAACAUCCACUCAAGUGUAGAAGAUAGAUUAGCCAUGGAAUUGGGCAAGACUCCCUUAAAUCGGUUGUUGGAUAAAUAUAG
rnacentral:misc_RNA from 1 species